GCGACUUUACCGCUCGGCCGCUGGUGGGCCGAAACUAAGAUGUAGGAAAACAUCUGUAGCGGCAGCGCCAAACAGGCGAUACAGACUCAAAAACUCUGGAGAAAAGCGCCAAUUGGCGAAACAGUAAACCUGCUUGACAACACUACGGGCUCACGGGAAGAGAAGAAUUCUGUGUGUGUGCGUCUGUGAAACAACUCGUCCUGUGCCUUCCACGUGAUAUGUAACUGCGAUCUGUGUUGUGACUGUACCCUUCCUUAAGCCAUUGUUAUGUAUCUAUAUUACUUCUCCUUAUUAAAUAUCAUUCUUAAUGUUAAA